AAUGAGCCUGCGAGUUGUGGUGUCUGGCAAGGUUAAGCAAACGCGAAGCCGUAGCGAAAGCGAGUCUGAAUAGGGCGCUUAGUCAGAUGCUGCAGACCCGAAACGAAGUGAUCUAUCCAUGAGCAAGUUGAAGCUAGUGUAAGAACUAGUGGAGGACUGAACCCAUAGGCGUUGAAAAGCCCCGGGAUGACUUGUGGAUAGGGGUGAAAGGCCAAUCAAACUUCGUGAUAGCUGGUUCUCUCCGAAAUAUAUUUAGGUAUAGCGUUGUGUCGUAAUAUAAGGGGGUAGAGCACUGAAUGGGCUAGGGCAUACACCAAUGUACCAAACCCUAUCAAACUCCGAAUACCUUAUAUGUAAUCACAGCAGUCAGGCGGCGAGUGAUAAAAUCCGUCGUCAAGAGGGAAACAACCCAGACUACCAGCUAAGGUCCCUAAAUCUUACUUAAGUGGAAAACGAUGUGAAGUUACUUAAACAACCAGGAGGUUGGCUUAGAAGCAGCCAUCCUUUAAAGAAAGCGUAAUAGCUCACUGGUCUAGUGAUUUUGCGCGGAAAAUAUAACGGGGCUAAAGUAAGUACCGAAGCUGUAGACUUGAUUUUA
rnacentral:rRNA from 1 species